AGGAAGUGAGGACAGGUGAAGGGACUGGGGCAGGGGUGGGGGGGAGGGAGGGGAGGGAGCUGACUCCUGACCUCCUCCCCCAGAAUGUGACCUUGGCCAUGGCCGUGUUCACCAUCCUAGCCUCCAUCUACUUCUUCAACAAGGUGAGGGGGAGGUGGGGUGGGAGGGCUGUGUCUCUCCUUUUUCUCUUCAUUUGACCCUGGAGCUUUUAUUGUCCUGAGCUGCCAUCUGUCUUCUAUCUCUGCUCUAGGCUCAGCAGUAAGAAGGCAUGACACCCCAAUCCACCAGCUUGGCCCCCGCCUGCUCUGCCAUUGCGCUGGCCUCUGAGAUCCAAUAAAUGUAACAGCACC
ensembl:processed_transcript uncharacterized LOC115064691